CAGCAUGGAGUUUUUGAGUGGGACGUUUCUGAGAAUAAAAGGACCACAACCAGACAUCACUGCCAUCUAUCAGGACCCUCUACCUGAUCCAGUUCACCCAGGAGAGGCAGUUACUCUGCACUGUUCAGUCCUCUCUUCAUCUGAAAGAACAUCUUGUCUUGAAGAACACCAUGUGUACUGGUUCAACACUGGACCAGAUGAAUCUCCUCCAAAUCUAAUCUACGCUCAGAAAAACAGGGGUGAUGAAUGUGAACAGAGUCCUGAAGCAGGUUCACUGCAGAAAUGUUUCUACAGCUUCUCCAAGAACGUCAGCUCGUCUGAUGCAGGGACUUACUUCUGUGCUGUGGCUGCAUGUGGAGAAAUAAUGAUUGGAAAUGGAACAAAAGUGGAAAUUGAAGCUGUCCAGACAUGUGAUGUUCAGACUGUGGAUGUGACUGUGUUUAUAUUGUGUGGUGAGUUUGUUCUGAGUCUGAUUAUCAUCGCCUUCCUUCUGUAUUACAUCAAGAAAAAGAAAUGCGACACAACUGGUAAGAUAAAUGACUUAAACAUGACUCUAUUAUAUAGUAGAUCGUGGAAGUAUUGUGAUAAAAAUGUGCUUUCUUUUAUAUAACACAGCUGCCGUUAAACCGGAAACAAACACUGUAUCAGCCACUGGUUUUAUUCAGCAGGUAAAACUGUACAGAUAAGACAACAGUAAACAGUCA